GACAGAUAGAGAUGCGUUCGUUGUUUUUCUGGUGUUGGUUAGUGUGGUUAAACUACCGAAGCUACUCCCAAGAAUAUAGCUAGUAACAACAAAACAACAUCACCCAAGAGGCAAAAAUAGCCAGUUAAGAUAUGAAAUCCUUAGAUACUGGUUGGAAUAUCAAUAGGCUAUAGCAUGGCUCUAAAACCAACUAUUAACACUAAUAUUCACGUAGAUCCACUAAAGUGUAGGUAGCAAAUCAG
rnacentral:rRNA from 1 species